rnacentral:rRNA from 1 species
UACGUAGGGUGCGAGCGUUGUCCGGAAUUACUGGGCGUAAAGAGCUCGUAGGUGGUUUGUCGCGUUGUCCGUGAAAACUCACAACUCAAUUGUGGGCGUGCGGGCGAUACGGGCAGACUGGAGUACUGCAGGGGAGACGUGGAAUUCCUGGUGUAGCGGUGGAAUGCGCAGAUAUCAGGAGGAACACCGGUGGCGAAGGCGGGUCUCUGGG